UAACCACAAACUUGAGAGCCC
rnacentral:piRNA from 1 species